rnacentral:rRNA from 1 species
GAAUUUAAAAGUCGAACAGACUUAAUAUAAAGAAUGCUGCUUCUUUAAUUUAUCUUAAUUCAACAUCGAGGUCGCAAAAAUCAAUAUAAAUAUGAACUCCCCAUUGAUAUUACGCUGUUAUCCCUAAGGUAACUUUAUCUUAUUAUUAUAAAAAUAGAUCAUAAAAUACACAAAAAAAGUGAUAAAAAAAAUUAAAGUUAAAAUUUAACUACCUCCCCAGUAAAAAACAAUAGUAUUAUUAAAUAUUUUUAUAAAAAUUAAUUAAUAACAAAAGCUUUAAGUUCUAUAGGGUCUUAUCGUCCCAAGAAAAGAAUUAAGCAUUUUAACUUAAAAUUUAAAUUUUAAAAAUAUAAUUAAUAAAAUAUGAUUUUCAUAUAUCCAUUCAUUCCAGCUCCUAAUUAAGAAACUAAUUACUAUGCUACCUUUGCACAGUCAAUAUACUGCAGCCAUUUAGAACUAACCAUAGGGCAGAAAAUACCUUUUAUGUUUUUACA